rnacentral:lncRNA from 1 species
CUUUGAGUUUGUCUUACAUAUAGUUUUCCUUUUGCAAUUACCUUUCUUUGCUUAUACCUUUUCUUGUUUGUCUUUAUUGUUUCAUUGGUUUUGUGGUGGUUGCCUUUGAGAUUGGUGUGCUUGCUUUGACAUCUUUCAUUUGAGGAUUCCAAGGCCUCAAGAUCAGAUUGGUGCAAGGACAUUAUUUCUUUGAGAGUGACCUAUUUUUCUGCCUCAAUUCACUUCGGCAUUUUUGCUUAAAACACUCACUGUUUUUGCUAAUUUUUGUUUCUUAACUUGUUUGUUG